GAUUUACUCAGCUGAGGAGUCAUCGGUGUUUUUCUAAGAGAAUAGACUGCAGAGGUGGAUGAAACUAUAGAACUUAUUGAGACAGUCUGUUGAAAUGAAUUCAACGACGUCCAUUUGUCCAAUGCCUGUUAUUGUUGCCAGGUCUCAUAUGAGCAUUCUUAAGGCCAACACCUUGAUUUGGGCCCUUCUUUGGGAUAUCACGCAACUCCAUAACCUGUAUGGUCCGCUGCCUCUUGGCUUUUUCAGCUUCUUGGUACCGCUCCUGGAGCUUUCUUUUAGUCGCCUCGAGUUUGACUUGAACAGCAUCCUCAUCUGAAUGUCUAAGCUUAUUCUGUUGAGACGCCACAGGCCUCUUUUGAAUUGUGCCUUUAUCAGAUUUCUGCUGGAAGUUCAUCUCGUUAACCUUGAGCUUCUGCUCCAAGGCUGGUUUUGUCGGUCUUCCAGGCCCAAAUUCACCUCCAGAUGGCUUAGUU
rnacentral:misc_RNA from 1 species